GACGAACGCUGGCGGCGUGCCUAAUACAUGCAAGUAGAACGCACAGUUUAUACCGUAGCUUGCUACACCAUAGACUGUGAGUUGCGAACGGGUGAGUAACGCGUAGGUAACCUGCCUGGUAGCGGGGGAUAACUAUUGGAAACGAUAGCUAAUACCGCAUAAUAUUAAUUAUUGCAUGAUAAUUAAUUGAAAGGUGCAAUUGAACCACUACCAGAUGGACCUGCGUUGUAUUAGCUAGUAGGUGAGGUAACGGCUCACCUAGGCGACGAUACAUAGCCGACGUGAGUGGGUGAUAGGCCACACUGGGACUGAGACACGGCCCAGACUCCUACGGGAGGCAGCAGUAGGGAAUCUUCGGCAAUGGACGAAAGUAUGACCGAGCAACGCCGCGUGAGUGAAGAAGGUUUUCGGAUCGUAAAGCUCUGUUGUAAGAGAAGAACGGGUGUGAGAGUGGAAAGUUCACACUGGGACGGUAUCUUAACAGAAAGGGACGGCUAACUACGU
rnacentral:rRNA from 1 species